AGAGGGGGAAGAAUUAGCAAACCGGGCAGGAAAGAUGUCUUUCGUCGUAUAGAAGCUGCCUGGUGGGCCCAGGGCUCCAUGGAAGGGUCGGCCGACCCCACCUGGAGGUUCCUGGCCCUGCCACUCGAUUCUACGUCCCUCGGGAAGUCUUUCUGCACUUGUGUCGUUUCCUUUUACCAUAGAAAGGGGGUCGGGCGACCCCCUCAUCGCGCCUGUUUUUGGUGCCAUGACGUGCCGAGGUGUAUGCAGUGUUGUUCCAUGCUCACGGCAGUUCAGAGAUGAAGUUGGGGGGUCGGGCGACCCCCCACACUUGCAGUUUUCAUGCAGCUGAACUUACAACAGAGAGAGAUGAUCAAAUGCAGACGUCCUGCUGGUGGCAACACACCAGCAGGACCAAAAACAACUCUAUUAAAUCAAAUUUCAAUUGUAUAGGCACUUUUACAUUGUGAAAUUCAAAGUGACAAAUUGGAAAAUAAAAUUGAGUAAUCAAACCUAAAUAAUCAAAUAGUGCCUAUAACCUAAACUAACUAAUUUAUUUAGGGAGAUGGAGGUUUGAGGAGAUCCUCCCGCCCAAUUGCUUGUGCCAAACGCUUGAUUUUAGCGCUGGUGCUAAUGCGCAGGUGGCGGAAGUGAUCUUCUAUCUCAAGAUUCUCCAUCCUGAGCUCCGACACUGUCUCCUCUA
rnacentral:lncRNA from 1 species